GCCAGCCAAUCCGCUCCAGGGUGACACUAUUUCUUGUGACUGAGAGGUUCUCCUCCCUACCUCUUCCAACCUGACCAGAAAGCUGGAGUCCACAGACACCAGUAACACUUCAUGGAAGACUUGCGGCAAGGAGACAAGGCCUCAUGACGGGAUGCAACAUACAGUGGUACCACCCAGCCCAGCAGGCACUGCCCACUCCCUGCUGCUGCACCACAUAGUUCUGCUCUAACACCUCAGAGACUGGAAUGUGGUUCCAAGUCAGACACCGAGAAGGAGGCUGAACACUUUCUCUGUGCACCAACCCUGCAUGCCUCUUGCCCUUUGCACAUCCCGUGCCUUCUGCCUGGAAUAUUUUUAAUAAACCUUUCCCCACCUAGCUAUUUCCUAUUUAUUCUUUGGGUCUUAACGACUUACGCAUCACUCCCUAAUCUGAAGUAGAAUCCUCCGUUAUUCUCCUUCCCCAUCCUUUUCCUUCACUGCACUUAGCACACUGGUACCACACUGAGCACACAUCCAGGUGAUCACUAGCAAACAACACUGGCAAGCUGCAAAAGAAGGGGUGACAUCUCCUUUAUUCUUUAACUUGCUGAAAUGAACCCAUUUCUACCCUUAAAACAACCCAAUGAGGUAGGAACCAUUACUCUACCCAUUCCACAGAUGUGAAAACUGAGAAUCAGAGAUGAGCCAUCACUUGGCCCAAGGCCACCGAGCUGGGGAGAAGUGCAGCUGGGACUCAGACCCAGGAAGUCUGAUUCUGCAAGUUCUAAGCACACCUCUGGCACCUUCUAUGGGCACAUGCUGGUCUUCAGCAUAAAGUCUCCCAGCCCACAUCUUUGUUUUGUUGUUUGUUUGUUUGUUUGUUUGUUUGAGACAGAGUUUCACUCUUGUCACCCAGGCUGGAGUGCAAUGGCACGAUCUUGGCUCACUGCAACCUCCAUCUCCCGGGUUCAAGGAAUUCUCCUGCUUCAGCCUCCCAAGUAGCUGGGAUUACAGGUGCCUGCCACCAUGCCCGGCUAUUUUUUUUUUCUUUCUUUUCUUUCUUUUUUUUUUUUUUUUUGUAUUUUUAGCAGAGACGGGGUUUCGUCAUGUUGGCCAGGCUGGUCUCAAACUCCUGACCUCAGGUGAUCCACCAACCUCGGCCUCCACCAACCUCGGCCUCCCAUCCCAGCCCACAUCUUUACUUACCCUUCCUGUGCCUCCCACAUUGCUCUCCCACCAGACUGAAAUACACUGUGCACAGCUUCCUGGCAAUGAGCCUUUGCUUGGCCUGCACUCUCUGCCUUGGAUGCAGCCUGCAUCCAGCUCUCCCUGGCUGGGCUAGUGACUCUAAUUUGCUGGGCCUGCCUCCUCAUCUAUGCGAUAGCGGAAUAAUACCUAAGGCAGUUGUGAGGAUUCUACAAGAGAAUGCAUGGAAAGUAUUAGGCACAAUGUUGAGUCCAUAUGAUACUCACUCGUGUGUCCUUUUAUCACUAACAUACUGCUUCUCUACCACCACCACCAUCAGAAUCUUAAAGGUCUAAAUCAGCAAACACAAGCCAGUGUACUAACAGGCCAAAUCCAGUCGUCUGAGUCACCCAAAGAAGGUGUUUUCUAAAAAUUUUAAUUGGUUAACAAUAAUUUUUUAAAUUGGAAAAGUUUCACAUAAAAAUUCAGACAGCUGGAUUUUCUUAAUGAUCAGCCCGUGUGGCAACACCAGGGCCAUAUUCCCACAUGGCAGUGAUUGGCUGGGGUUGAGUGGCACUGCCCCCUUGAGGCAGGGUGUGUGUUCCCCGGGGGCACCCCGGUUCCCACCCCUCUCAGAUGUCUCCCACUGAGCCUGUGGCAUUCAUUCAUAUGACCUCUCUGGCCCCUGUAGGUCCUUAAGUUUCUAACCCCUGAUCUCAGUCUUACCAUUCUUCAAAUCCCUACUCACAUGCCCACUUCCUUCAAAAAAACCCUCCCCAACCUCCACAGCCCUGUGCUUCCCUUAUGGUUUUAUAACUUUAACAGUUAACUUGCACUGAGUACUUCAUGCAAAGAUCCAAAGUAAAAUAUUAGCCUAUCAAAUGCGGUCACAUUUAAAAGAAUAAUCUAUCAUGACAAAGAAUUUCGGAGGGCCAAGAAGGUUGCACUAGGAAAUCCAGCAAUGUAAAUCAAGCAUACAAAUCACACACCACAUUAGCAAAGAAUGAUGCAUUCCAUCUGCAUCCCAACAGCAUGUGACAAAAUUCAAUAAUUAUUCCUGAUUUUACAAAGCUCAGAAAGCCAGGAGUUGAAGGAAGCUUUCUUAAACAAAAAGUAUCAUACUUGGUAGUUAUUAAACAGAGUAUGAGAUUCUAACCAAUGCAAUGAGAUUCUAACCAAUGCAAUAAGAGAAGAAAAAUCGAUGAAAGGCCAUGGGGAGAGCUUAGUUCCACUCUCACAGAGGCAAGAACUAUGUCCUAGUCCUCACAAUUUCCACAACACCCUAAGCACAGCACGUGGGAUAGAUAAAGCAGUCAAAUAUUUGUGGAAUGAAAAACACCCCAGAUGAGUUCUGAUCCCUGGUACAUGUUCUCAAAACAUCCAGUACUUUUUGGAGGCACAUAUCACAACUUAAAUUGCACAACUUGUUUAUGAAAAUAUUUCUGUUUUCCUACAAGAUGGUAAGUUCCAUGAAAUCAAGGCCUUCACUCUAGGUACCAAGCACAGGUGUCCCUGGCCUAAAGCAGGUACUCAAUGCCCACUCCAAGAGACAUGAGGGCCUACUGGAGGGUGCAGGGUGGGAGGAGGCUGAAGAUCUAAAACUACCUGUUGGGUACUGUGCUUAUUACCUGGGGGAUGAAAUAACCUGCACACGAAACUCCCAUGACACACAAUUUACCUGUAGAACAAACCUGUACAUGUACCUUGAACCUAAAAUAAAAGUUAAAAAAUAUAUAUAAGGCUGGGCACAGUGGUUCACGCCUGCAAUCCCAGCACUUUGGGAGGCCAAGGCAGGAGGAUCAUUUGAGGCCAGGAGUUUAAGGCCAGCCUGGGCAACACAGUGAGUCCCUGUCUCUAAAUUUAAAAAAAAAAAAAAAAAAAAAACCCUACUGCAGAUGCAUGAAUGAAUGCACUCAAUAGAUAGUGCUAAAUUAUCAUGAUGUUAUUCUACUUCUCAGCUGGAGAAUCUGAAGCCCAGGCAGGGAGCCUUUGGCUGAGGCCACACCAAUGUGAAGCCCUCUCAGUACCCUGGUGUCCUCUGAAAGGCGUCGGCCACACGCACACGCCACAGCCCAUGUGACUUAACAAGUAAGGAAAGCAAAGCCCAGACCCAUGCCUCAGAGCCCUCUAAACAAACACAUCCAGGACCCACCCCGGCGGGCCAAGCCGCCACCGCUCUGAGGCUGGGGAUGACUUCAGUGCGGAGACCUGAGGCUUUCCUCCCAGAGCCCCACGACUGGUGCCCACAAGGCUAAACAGCUCCCUUCUGCCUUCCCAGGAAGCUAUCAAAGAAUUACUUAUGUCUCUGGAAGUGCUUGUUUAGAAAAGGUUCUCCACCCCACCUGGGCUUGGCAGGAGCGCAGCAUCACCAGGCUGCCCUUCGGAGCUGCUCAGGCUUGCCUCCAGCCCCUGGAGGAGCUCAGCCAUCUUUCACACAGAGAGUCGAAGCCAUGAAGCAGCGGGAAGCUUCCCAGGAUAAACGGAGCAGGGUGACAUCAAAGUCCUCCUUCCAGAUUAAACAACUGAGGCCUUCAACUCUCGCUUGCGUUCCUUCCAGGAUAUUCUGGGCUCCUGCCUCAGUUCUCCCUCCGAUGGAAUGGCAGAUAUUUUGUUUUUCAGCCUUGAUGUUUCCUGCCCUCGCGGGGACAGUUUGAUCCCAGAGUGUACCUGAGCUUCCUGGUACAAACAACAACACUGUCCAUCGAUCCAUCCAUCCCCACCUUCCAACAUCCCCACUGGGCGAGCAGAGGAAACAUCCCCUGAGUUCUAGGACCUUGCAGGACCCACAGCAGGUGCCUCCUGGAUUUGAUUUCCCCCAGGUUUCCUACAAAAAUGUGAAUGAAGAGGGUGCUCUUGGGCUCUAGAGAACAGAAGGCAUGCACAGUCUGGCUCAGGGGCAUCCAGCCUCCUUCCCCAAGAAGAAAAGUCUCAAAGUGAGGACAAGACACUCCUCGAAGCCUCUACCGGAGACCACAUCACAAAGACCCAUUAAAGCGCUAAGAAGAUGACACCCAUGGCCGCCACCCACCCAUCCUGAGGGACCUAUGGAAAACCAGAAGGUCCCCCCACUCCCCAGCACUCUGCCCAGCCCAAGCUCUCCCAGCCUCUGCCUCCCAUCCCCCAGGAGGAAAGACAGUGCCCAGGCUGGGCCAGGCAGCUGGCCCUGGUGCCCAUGAGCAGAGGGGACCCUCCCUGGAGAACUCGAAAAUGCCAGUGAACAAGGCCCAAACACCUCCAUCCUGAGUCCUUCUCCAGCCUUAAAGCAAAUCAUCUUUUAAUCCUGAAACACCAAAUAUUUAAUUUAUGCUCUACCUCAAAUGUCAAGCCCACCUCCCAUCACAUAGCUUUGAAACCACGUAAAGAAGCCUAACACUUUCCAUAUGGCAAAGACAUGGGGCCUUUUAAUUGUGCCAACUGGUAUCAUUCAAGGGUAAUUCCCUUGGAAUCUGGCACUCGGGCAACAGCUGGGCCAGCCUCCAAUCUCAUCACCCAACCCCACACGUCCCCAUGGGCUCCAAGUAAGCCUGCACCCUCCUCAUCUUCUCCAAAUAUCAAAGUGCACUAGGUACCCCCAGUCAAAUUACCAAACUGCCUGGCAGCCGCCUUUGAUCCAGAGGCGGGCUUGCCUGCACCACGGCUCUCAGCCUAUUUCUUCAGGCAGCUCUGCUGUAAAGGAACAAAAGGGCCAACCGGGGCCAUGGGGAGAUUAUUUUAAAUCUGGUUGUACAUAUUCACAAUCAGCCUGUGAGCAUAUACAGAGGCACACAGGUCUUCACCAAGUGUUUCCCACCUGAUACCUGAGUCCACUGCACUAUUUAAUCUAUCUAUUAAGCUUUUUCACUUGUCCAUUCUAUUUUCCACACCCAGUGUUUCCAAUUGGUUUUCUUCUCUAACUGCCUGUUGCUGCUUCAUGUUUCCAGCAUCCUCCGUUUCUCUCUGAGUUUAUGAUGCUUAUUUUGCUUUCUAAUUGUUUAACAUGGUGUUCUUUGCCGCGUGUGCUGAUCAGUUUAUUGCUCCUCUUCCACAGUACUCGUGCGCCUCCCAUUUCUCAUUCCUUUUCUCCUAUGAGUCCAUAUUCCCUUGGACUUGCUCAUGUCCCCAUGGAAAGGGCAAAAGCCCAGCCCUUGGCCUGCGUCCCUCCAAGUGAGCCUGCCAUGACAGUGGGGGAGGCAGAGAGCCUCUAGCAUUCUUAUCCCAGCCCUAUCACUCCCUGUUUGUAGGCCCCCAUCUCCAACCCUACAAAUGUCUUCAGUGAAUCUCCCAGUAGGUUCCCUUCCUUCCCAGGUUCAACAGUUAUAAUCCCAUCAUAACCCGCCAGGGAUGAAAAUAUUAUUACACCCAUUUUGCAGAUGAGCUAAUUAAGGUAUACAAGGGCAAAAUGGUUUGCACAGGUGACAAAUCACUAGGACAGAGCCUGACCUCAUUUAUUUCUGUAUUUAAGAGGGCAGGCUUAGUUUAAUGCCAGCAUGGUCACCCUUUCACAUCUCAGGACCCUGCAGGCAACUUGGACUCAUCUGGGACAUUUCCCAAGCCCCUCAGACCUCAUCAGGAAGGAAGAGGGCAAACAGGGGCCACUCCUGCUUCUGCCUGCCCCACGACUGGCUCAUCUCGAAGCACCCCCUCUCUGGGAGUUUUGUAUGUAGCACCCUCCAGGCGGAUGCCCUGGCACAGGGCUUCUCUACAAAUGGCUUCUCCUAGAAAGUGCUCCAGAAAGGGAGAAACACACAGUCCACACCAGCGGGCUGUCAACACUACAAGGUUAUGGGGAGGAUUAAGAUAAUGUAAGCAAAGUGCUUGACACAUAUAGGCACUUAAUAAAUACUAGUUAUCAUUGCAAUAACAAUAAUACUAGUUGGAUGAGCCACUGUGUCUCCAGCCACUUAGUUGACAGGCCACGUAAAGGACUAGAGGCAGAGACUAGCCCCAAAACAGGCCUGGGGUUGGUGGGAGGACCUCUGCCAGCCCUUGGAAACCAGCAGACUUUGGAGCCCAUGCCCUCCUACAUCCUGAUGAUAUCAUGGAAGAACCUACCAGCUACCCCUUCGGCACCAGAGGGAAUCAGGGAAAUGAACUAGCCUGAGGGUUGCCCAUUGCUGUCCUGUUCAAUAUCUUAGUGCUUCCCAAACUUGGGGCAUUCCAUUCCCACAUUCACAAUUUUGACCACUUGUACUUAAUAUUUUUCUCUGAAUGGACUUCACGUUAGACUCUUUUUUAACUUAGCUUCAUCCUAAGCAAUAAAAUCUGCAAAAUCAUGGGUUUGAUGUCCUAGUUAUUUUUUUUUCUGGUAAAAAAAAAAAGAUAACUAUUAAGAUUUAAAAUGUUCCCCCAGAUUCCACCUGAAAUCACCUGGAGGAUGCCUGGAGUGCUGUUCCACACCCUGGGCUCCCCCUGAAGUUCUGACUCCUUAUCCCUACCUCUGCAGACACACUGGCUGGGCCAUCUGGGGCCAAGGUUGGUGAAAACCCAGGCGUCUGGGUCCCCAGCAGCAAGAACAACUCCCAAGGAGACAGAGGCCGGCCCCCUGCAUAACAACUUUGAUGGCUGCGGCCCACCCUCCAACCACCUGACACAUGUCAUGCCAACGGCUCUGAGCCUCACAUCUUCAAAAGUACUUUGAACAAACAUUAAUGACCUCUCAGCAUUUCUCUGAGAGAGGGGGUGAGGGAGAGAGGGGGACAGGCACCAUCCCAUGCUGUCCUCAGCUGGGGGAAGAAACUAGGCAACAGAAUUCCGUGACUUCACCAAAGCCACAGACUUAAGCUGGGGCCCCCUCCCCACCCUCCCUCACUUCCCCCAAUGGCAACUUUAGUGGCCUGCAUUCCUCUCGCUGGGAACACUACUAUUUAAUUAAAAACGACAGACUUUUGUUUUCCUCUCCCUCUUUCCUCCUCCCUCCCAUCCUCCCAGACUGGAUGCCAAGGAGACCCACCAAAAACAUGCGGGUAACAUUUGUUAUGGCUUUGAAGAUAAAAGUCAAUUGAAGUAAGCCCUCGCUGUAUUUCAAGUUUUCCCUCUAGCAUGGAGCAAGCUGCCUGGCAGUUUAGAAAAAAAAGAAAAGAAAAAGAAAAAGGAGGGACUGCAAAUAAAUGUCAUUCUGCAGGAAUACUUUGUAAAAAUAAACAGGCUGAAAAAACCCAAAACUUGAUUAAUGGAAAUCCACUCAGUUGGCCUCUGUCUGGAGCUGUAAAUGCAUUUGUUCAUACGGCUAAAUUAGACCGUUUUCGUUGGCCUUUAAAUAAAUAAGUAGAUCAAAAACUAGAAAGGGCAGGGGAAGAAGGAGAGGUUUGUAGUUCUCUUUUUAAAGGGCCCCAACUGCAGUGCCCCCCGCCCACCAAGAUUUGACCUUUACUAGGGGACAGCAGCUCCAAGUCCGACCCGGCCAACAGAAGACAGAGAAGCCCCCAGCUAAGCAGUGGCGGUGGAGGAGGACAGGGGAGCUUCUCCUAGGCCCAGAGGUUAUUUCAUCCACACACAGGAACUGACUUUAUCCACAGGUCCACCUCCCGACACCAGCACUGCAAGCGAGCUGCCAGGUCCCACCACCCAAAUACAAACACAUCUGAAGUCUCCACUGGCCUCUCCCCAGCCCAUGGAUAAGACCAAAGAACUAACCAGACCUGAGACUCAGUCUAUUCCCCCUCUAAGUUAAAAAAAAAAAAAAAAAUUAAAUGUCACAUCAAAAAGUUGAUUCAUCCUUUGAUCCUAGGCUUGCGCGAGUUCCACGCAGACUGCCUGAAAGCCCCGUGCAGAGUUCCGGAGCUCACAGGACAUCUGUGAACGCCAAGUCCCAGGCCAGGAGCUGGGGCUGGACUCACUCAUUCCCAUCACACUUAGUGCUCCUCCAGGAACUCCAGCCUCAGAGACACACGGGGUGAAGGCUCAGGGCUCUGCCCAGGCUACAGUGGAAUGAGGCCCUCUAUCUCAUAUGCCAAGUAAGGGGUCUUCCAGGUCUCAGUCCCCCUAGAUCUGCUACCCAGAGGGCCGCCUGCUCUACUGGGGUUCCUGUACAGGUGGUACUGAUGAAUGCCACAGACAAUCAGAACAUAUUCAGAUCCUGGGGCCAGCACAGCUCUGCCUUCCACCCAGACACCCCUAAUACCCCCUUCUCUCUAGCCCCUACUCCACCUCCACCUUUGAAUGCUGGUGGCAGAAACAAGGUAGAAGUCAGAGCAGGCCCCCAAAUCCCGCCGGUACAGACACGAUUCCCCAUCAACUGGACCUUCACCACCUCCCCACCUAGGACCUUUCCCCCAGGCAGCCCUCUGCCUCCAGCUGGGCACUUCGAGGUUCUCCAAGGCAUGCGGGCAGAGGGUCGCGUUGGUGGGGCAGGGGGCAGCUGAGAAGAGAUUUUCAGACCCAGAAGCUGUGCAGGAAAGUGCUCAAAGUUGGGGUGCAUGGGUUUGGGGACCCAUCUCUGAGGCUGAAAGGAGGCCAGGAGGUGGGGCAGGGGUGGGGAAUCAUACCCGGGUGCUUCGGCCUAUGGUGCCCGCCAACCGCAGCUGUCGGGGUCCCGAGACACCGCCCGGGCAGCGCUGUCUCCCGAUCCACUCCUCGAUGCCCUUCCGAGCCCAGGCAGCGCUCACGGCGAAGCUGUCACCUGGGACGGGGACGACAUGAAGCCCCUGAGUCUGGCUCCAGGUGCCAAAAGUUACCCCCGCGGAGGGAAGAAGGAGGCGCGGUGGGAGGCGAAGGACCACGGCACGGGGGCCAGGAGGGGGUUCGCGGGCUGGGGCAGGAGCCAAGAGAGGGACGCGGGUAAGUAAAGGGGGGUUCAGCGAAGCCCUAGGAGCGAGGAGCCAGAAGGGGGCAAGAGGGGUGAGCAGUACCCCAGGAGGACGGGUUUAGGAUCAGACCAGGGAGCACUGGCAGCCAGGACUGCGGAGGAGAGGGCUGGGGGUCAGGAGAGGGGCCGCAGUAGGUGCAGGAGCCAGGAUAUCGGAAGAAGGGCCGGGGGGCAGGAAGAGGGGGCAGGGUCUUGCGGGGAGGCGCUUGGGGGUCUGAAGAGAGGGUGCCGUGAGAGCCGAGGGCAGGGACGCGGGAGGGGGAGGGGUUGAGGGUCAGCGGUGGGAGCGCAGGACCGCGGGGAGCGGGUAGGAGGGACAGAGGAGGGGGCGCGAAGGCUGCUCAGGGAGCGGGCUUGGGGGGCCGGUGGCCGGAACUGGGGCUUCGGGGUGGCCCUGGUCAUAAGACCUGGCGGGCUGGGCCGUUCUGCCGCGGCCGCGGUGUCCCCCGCGUCCAUCCCCGAGGUCUGCGCCCCGCGCGCCCCUACCUUCCGGGCUCUCCCUGCGCUUGCACACGGCGGCUGCAGGCACAUCGCGAGGCGGCGGCGGCGGCGGCAGCCGCGGCGGCGGGAGAAGGAAAGAAAGGAAGGGAGAGAGUUAGCGACCGCGGCGGCGACGGCGGCGGGGCCCGGGGCGAGCGCGCGGGCGGGGGCACUGACCCGGCUUGGAGUGAAGUUUCCCCAUGCUGGGGCUGCGGCGGCCGGGAGCGUCCCUAAGCCAUGCGCCCGGC
rnacentral:lncRNA from 10 species